rnacentral:rRNA from 1 species
GAUGAACGCUAGCGGCAGGCUUAACACAUGCAAGUCGAGGGGUAUAGGUUUUCGGACCUAGAGACCGGCGCACGGGUGCGUAACGCGUAUGUAAUCUACCUUUCACAGAGGGAUAGCCCAGAGAAAUUUGGAUUAAUACCUCAUAGUAUCUCGUUGCCGCAUGACAACGAGAUUAAAGUUCAAACGGUGAAUGAUGAGCAUGCGUCCCAUUAGCUAGAUGGUAAGGUAACGGCUUACCAUGGCGACGAUGGGUAGGGGUCCUGGGAGGGAGAUCCACCACACUGGUACUGAGACACGGACCAGACUCCUACGGGAGGCAGCAGUGAGGAAUAUUGGUCAAUGGACGCAAGUCUGAACCAGCCAUGCCGCGUGCAGGAUGACGGUCCUAUGGAUUGUAAACUGCUUUUGUACGAGAAGAAACAACAUUACGUGUAGUGUCUUGACGGUAUCGUAAGAAUAAGGAUCGGCUAACUCCGUGCCAGCCGCCGCGGUAACAC